rnacentral:rRNA from 1 species
UACGAAGGGGGCUAGCGUUGUUCGGAAUCACUGGGCGUAAAGGGUGCGUAGGCGGGUCUUUAAGUCAGGGGUGAAAUCCUGGAGCUCAACUCCAGAACUGCCUUUGAUACUGAAGAUCUUGAGUUCGGGAGAGGUGAGUGGAACUGCGAGUGUAGAGGUGAAAUUCGUAGAUAUUCGGAAGAACACCAGUGGCGAAGGCGACUUACUGGACACAUAUUGACGCUGAGGUGCGAAAGCGUGGGGAGCAAACAGG